GCGCGGCUAGCUCAGUCGGUAGAGCAGAAGACUCUUAAUCUCGGGGUUGUGGGUUCGAGCCCCACGUAGGGCG
rnacentral:tRNA from 1 species